rnacentral:lncRNA from 1 species
CUCAUUAAUCAAAAAGCACAGACAGCUUACUUGAGUAGAUUUGUUCGGAGGUAGGAUGAAACAACUAGCCAAAUACAAUUGCGAGUUUUCCACAGCAAAGUGAAGCACAAGGAAGCAAUUCAUCAUUCAGAAGUAAGGUACGUCCAUUAUGAAUCCGAGUACUAGGCCGAUACGGCAUGCCUACAUGUCCAAUUGAACUAUGAGCUAGAAGUCUUUUGACUUUCGUUUGGGCCCAAAGAUGCUCCUCUACAUCUUAGAAUGUCGGUAUCGAAGAAAGACAGAAAUAUGGGUUAAUAAAAAGUUCCCAACAGAGAUAGAUGGUACCAUGGCAGGCGAGGGAGAUCCAUAAAUGAAAGACGAGAGCAAGGCUCUCUCCUCAGAGGUUUUUUCUCGCUAGCUGCUUUUACGCCGAAGAACAUCAGAAGACGAAGGUACUGUUUGGUUCUGGGUUUAUCUUUCGGGUCUCAAUCGGACGAGUUUUGGGGGGUAAUACUGGCGGUUGAAACGUUGAGUUGAC